rnacentral:rRNA from 1 species
UGUAAGCUUCAAACUGGGAUUAGAUACCCCACUAUUCUUGGAAGUAAAAAAACAGAGUUUACCAGAGUACUAUGGAUUAAUGACAUUUAAAACUCAAAGAGCUUGGCGGUGUUUUAGACUCUUUAGGGGAACCUGUCUCAUAAUCGACAAUCCACGUAAAACCUGACCUUUAUUUGCUUUCAGUUUGUAUACCGUCGUCGUCAGGUAACUUUUUAGAAAAAAUAAGUUAGCAAAAGAGCUGGUAAUAAGCUCUUACGUCAGAUCAAGGUGCAGCCAACAUAAAGGAGAGGAUGGGUUACAAUUAUAAAAAUCAUAAUUACGAAAUAAUAUUAUUAAAUAACAGUUAUGAAGGAGGACUUAAAAGUAAAAUAUAGUAUAUAAAUAUAUUGAAUCGAGCCCUGAAACGUGCACACACCGCCCGUCACCCUCUGCAGUCAA